rnacentral:lncRNA from 10 species
GUUCCUCUCAGAGCACUAGUCUGGGAAAUACAGGCCACACAGUGAUGGUGGAGAAGACAUUUGCUCUGAAAUUAUGAAGAGCUCUGGAAACAAUACCAAAUAAAACCAAAGAGAAACAUCUUCCUGCAUAGAUCUGCGUUGACAGGCUGCCUGAAUGGGCUCUCAGGAGAAGAGUCAUGUGUGGAAGUCGGUGCGGAAGGUGGGGAACGCAUGGAAGCAGCUCAAGAAAGAUGAAAUCUGCAGAGUCCCUUCCUCUAUUCUCCUGGCCUCAUCUGUCCCUGCUGCCAAGAUGGAUUAUCUGCAGGAACUUGGACCAACUUCACAGAACCUUCCUUAUGUUCUGUUUAUACUGCCCAGACCUGCCCUGGCUUUCGUGUUGCUCCUGAGGCAGAAGAGGCCUUUGGACUCACUCGGCCCCACAUCUGCACAGGCCAGAGAUGCUGGGGGAAUUAACGCCACAAAGGGUUGACUUUAGAUCAAUGUGAGACAAGUAUUUCAACUAUGAUUGCAUAUUUGUCAGUGCCUCUUUGUAAUUCUGUGAGUUUUUUUCCUUCAUUUAUUUGAUAAUAUACUGUCUAAUAAUGCACAUUUUAAAUUCUCAUGUCUUCCUGGUUAACAUUUUUAUUUAGUCCUAAUGGCAUGGGCUUCUUUGCUGGGGAUUAGGGUGUCAGCAUCCUUUUAGGGAUCAUUAUUCUGCCUACCACAACUAUGAUUAACUUUUUGCCAACAAUUUUGAGAAUAUAGGUGAAGUGUGUAUUUUCUUGGGAAAAAUCUGUUUGCUUAUUUUAAUUGGUAAUACAGUAACACUUCCUUUUUGUUGAUUCUUGAUCUGGGAUAUAUACGUUUCUUCUUUUAAUGUUCAGAUUUUCUUGUCAUUUCAUGUUAUGCGUUUCUGUUGUAAAAUAUAUAUAUAUUUGAAUUUUGUUUUAUCAUCCAAUACGAGAGUCUGUUUUGUGAAUUUAGUUUCUUUAUAUUUAUUGAAUGCUCAUUAGCUUUGAUUACUUGAUACUUCCUUAUGUUGUGAUUUCUAAUGGUCAUGUUUCUUUUUCCACAUUUUUUCUUUCCUUCUUUUGUCCUUUUACUCCCUUAAUGGUUUCAGAGUCACACACAUUCUCUUGUCUACUGUAUUAAGUUCAGUAUAUUCAGUUCCUCUCUCUGCA